rnacentral:rRNA from 1 species
UACGUAGGUGGCAAGCGUUGUCCGGAAUUAUUGGGCGUAAAGCGCGCGCAGGCGGUCCUUUAAGUCUGAUGUGAAAGCCCACGGCUCAACCGUGGAGGGUCAUUGGAAACUGGGGGACUUGAGUGCAGGAGAGAAGAGUGGAAUUCCACGUGUAGCGGUGAAAUGCGUAGAGAUGUGGAGGAACACCAGUGGCGAAGGCGACUC